AUCCAGGCUGAUGAAUGGAUUGAUAAUUUGUUCCUUUCUGUCGUUAAGUAGUAUGUAUUCCACGGCAUGCGUGUACUUCAGUUUGUUUGACUGUUCACCCGUUGAAAGACUUCUGGGUUGAUUCCAGUUUGGGGCUAUUGCAAAUAAUGUUGCUAUGAGCAUUUGUAUACUGGCUUUUUGUGUAAACAUAAGCUUUUUAUUUCUCUGGGAUAAGUGCCUAGGAGGGCUAUUGCUGGGCAGUAUGGUAGUGGAAUCGUUCAUUUUUAAAGAAACUGUUAAACUGUUUUCCCGAUGGCUGUACCAUUUACACUCCCACCAGUAAUAUGCAAGUGACCCACAUUGUCUGCCUCCUCACCAGCUUCUGCCACCACGAUGGGAGAAGGCCAAGCCACACGGAAUGGCCUCAUGUAGGCACUGAGGUCCACAGUCCCAUCUGAGCUCCAGCUGACAGCUAACAUCAUAUGCCAGUCAUGAGCCGUCUUGGAAGUUCAGCCCCAGUCAAGCAUUCAGAUGAUGGCACCCUCAGCUGCCACGUAACCAGAACAAUACAAAAGACCCCAGACUGAAAAGCAAAACAACAACAAGAGCCUGCCGGUUUGCUUCUCUAGCCUAGAAGAUCUCCAAGGAGGCUAAGGCUCAGACAUCCUGACUUUCCGCAGAACCUCCCUGGGGAGAUAGUGCAAAUUCCAAUCCCCAGAGGCUCAGAGCCGAGAAAGCAGAGGAAGUGGUGAAGAUGGAGAUGCCCGGCCUCUCCCUCCACUCCCUUCCCCGCGGUGUUGGAAGGCAGGGUGCCUGCCGGGAAACCAGGCCACAGGGAGCCCAGCGGUGCGGGAGGGCAGCUGAGCCUGCGAUCAACCAGCCGCCAUAAGCGCCCGCCCUCCGAGCGCUGUCCGGCUACCCCCCGGGGCUGCGGGUGCGGCCAGGGCACCCCAGGAGACUGAAUUUCUGUUGCAAUGGGAAACCACCCCCGCCCACACCAGCCAUCUUCUCCAUCUCGCCUGCUCACCCCACUGCUUUUCCAAUGGGAGUCCUGCCCCUGCCUCCUCCCCUAAUCGACCCCUCCUCCCUCCCUAGCGGGGGAUCGAUCCAGUCCUCAGCUGUCUUUCUGGUGCCCCCCCCCCCGCCCCCCUCCCCCGCCAGUGUCUUCGAUUGCCUCCUGAGCCUGCGGCCCAUUCCAUCUUCAGCUGACUUGACUUGUCUUCCUCUGAGAUACAGCCUGGCAGAGCACGGCGCAUGAUUGAUGAGCUAAGAAGCUGUGGCUGGCAGGCAGGUGGGCAGCCAGCCAGAGACACAGCUCUCACAAGAUAGCAGAGCUGUCCAAGGGAGAGCCCACAGCUACGGGAUGCUCCCGGGAGUCCCCUCACUGGCUGGACUGACUCGGCAGCCAGUCUGGGCAAAGCAGAUAACCACAAGGGCCAUGGGUACAGUACCCAGCACACAACAGUCUCUCAGUCAGUGAGAAUGCGCCCUUCUUUCCCCACUCUAAAACAGAGACCCAAGGAGAGGAAGGCAGUGAGCUGCCUUUUUUUUUUUUUUUUUUUUGAGGAAG